rnacentral:tRNA from 4 species
GGGGGAUUAGCUCAGUUGGCUAGAGCGCCUGCUUUGCAAGCAGGAGGUCAUCGGUUCGACUCCGAUAUUCUCCA